ACUUCCCUACGGGACGCAGCAGUAGGGAAUCUUCCACAAUGGGCGAAAGCCUGAUGGAGCAACGCCGCGUGGGUGAAGAAGGUCUUCGGAUUGUAAACCUCUGUCUUUGGGGAAGAAAUCAGACGGUACCCAAAGAGGAAGCUCCGGCUAACUACGUGCCAGCAGCCGCGGUAAUACGUAGGGAGCGAGCGUUGUCCGGAAUUACUGGGUGUAAAGGGAGCGUAGGCGGGCUUGUAAGUUGAAUGUCUAAUCCACCGGCUCAACCGGUGAUCGCGUUCAAAACUGCAGGUCUUGAGGGAAGUAGG
rnacentral:rRNA from 1 species